rnacentral:snRNA from 1 species
GCAACUAUCAAUAAUGGUGCUCU